rnacentral:rRNA from 1 species
UACAGAGGGUGCGAGCGUUAAUCGGAAUUACUGGGCGUAAAGCGUGCGUAGACGGUUAUCUAAGUCGGAUGUGAAAUCCCCGGGCUCAACCUGGGAAUUGCAUUCGAAACUGAAUAGCUAGGGUGCGGUAGAGGGAAGCGGAAUUUCCGGUGUAGCGGUGAAAUGCGUAGAUAUCGGAAGGAACAUCAGUGGCGAAAGCGGCUUCCUGGACCAGCACCGACGUUCAGGCACGAAAGCGUGGGGAGCAAACAGG